CCAGGUCAGCGGUGAUUUCACAUCCUUGAGUUCCUUGCUUAAUUUGCUGAGAAAAUCUUGGAUUCAAAAGCCAGUUUUUGGAGAUCCCCUCUUCCCAUGGCACAGCUGGUGCCUGGUGGCUGCUCCCUGGGGCUGGGGCUCUCAGGAGUGGGGCAGCAGCUCUCAGGAAAGGGUUAAGCACGGCCAGGGCUUUGGGCUCCUUUGCUGGGGGAGACGGUUGCUCGCUUGUUUGUUUGGAAGUGCUGGCAGGAAAGCGGGGAGGAGAAAAUUACCUAAGUGAUAGUGAGGUUGCCAUGAACUAUAUAAAACUGUGAAAUCAAAUCAGAAGAAAACUCCACCUCGCAGUCUUGAACCAGAAGCACAACCCCUGAAGAGAAACCCACCCCAGCACCGAGUGAUCUCAAGGACUUGAACUCAAACCAAGCUAUAUGAGCUCAGCAGAGCUGCUGCAGAGCUGAAAAUCCAAGUGCUGUCAAAGCAACCUCCAGUUGUACUGGGAACUGCGAGCAGGAAUGCUGUUCUGGGGAAGUUUUAAAAUAAUGAAGUGGAGGCAGCUUUUCUGGAUUGCAUUCUGUGUUGUGAAGUUGUCUGGCACCGCUGCUGAUGGCCUGACGGACACCCCGGCUCCAGCAUCCACAUCCACAGAGACAGACCUGAGCGGAACCGGCAGCUUGGCAGCCACCGGCGCCCUGAGCAGCACCGUGCCAGCGUUGGAGAGCCUUGCUGCAGACACGGCCAGACCCACAGCAGCCACCCCCAGCUCCCCAGGGCUCAGCACUGUUCAGACGAGCCCGCAGCAGAGCUCACAGCCCAGCAAAGCCCCCACACAGGCGCGAGGUGCCACCCUGGAGGAUGCAAGCACAGGGGUGCCCAUGACACGGACCCCAGAGGUUAAUGCCAGCAAAACAGAAGCCACCCAAGAAGGCACACUGGCCCCGCUGAGCUCUACAGCCACCUCUGAGCUGAUGCCUGUCUUAGGAGGCCAGCACAGAGCCACACGUGGCAAGCAGGUGUCCCCAAGCCCAUCACAUGCCACAAUGUCAAAGAUGUGA
rnacentral:lncRNA from 1 species